rnacentral:rRNA from 1 species
GGCGAACGCUGGCGGCGUGCCUAAUACAUGCAAGUCGAGCGGACCGGCUUGGGGCUUGCCUUGAUUCGGUCAGCGGCGGACGGGUGAGUAACACGUGGGCAACCUGCCCGCAAGACCGGGAUAACUCCGGGAAACCGGAGCUAAUACCGGAUAACACCGAAGACCGCAUGGUCUUCGGUUGAAAGGCGGCCUUUGGGCUGUCACUUGCGGAUGGGCCCGCGGCGCAUUAGCUAGUUGGUGAGGUAACGGCUCACCAAGGCGACGAUGCGUAGCCGGCCUGAGAGGGUGACCGGCCACACUGGGACUGAGACACGGCCCAGACUCCUACGGGAGGCAGCAGUAGGGAAUCUUCCGCAAUGGGCGAAAGCCUGACGGAGCGACGCCGCGUGAGCGAAGAAGGCCUUCGGGUCGUAAAGCUCUGUUGUGAGGGACGAAGGAGCGUCGUUCGAAGAGGGCGGCGCGGUGACGGUACCUCACGAGAAAGCCCCGGCUAACUACGUG